rnacentral:rRNA from 1 species
UGCCAGCCGCCGCGGUAAUACGGAGGGUGCAAGCGUUACUCGGAAUCACUGGGCGUAAAGAGCGUGUAGGCUGGUUAAUAAGUUUGAAGUGAAAUCCAAUAGCUUAACUAUUGAACUGCUUUGAAAACUGUUAACCUAGAAUAUGGGAGAGGUAGAUGGAAUUUCUGGUGUAGGGGUAAAAUCCGUAGAGAUCAGAAGGAAUACCGAUUGCGAAGGCGAUCUACUGGAACAUUAUUGACGCUGAGACGCGAAAGCGUGGGGAGCAAACAGGAUUAGAUA